GAGCCCCCAGCGCCCCCGGCUCCAGGCUUCUGCUGCCACCCUCCCUCCUGGACGGGCCUGCUCUCCCUGCUCCCACACCUGUCUCAAAGACCAGCUUCAAGACCAUGUGGGGGCCCUGCCCAGCCCCCGAGGGGACAGCAAAGAGCCCUGUCCCCAGGCUGGCAUCCCACACAUGCAGCCCAUGCUGGAGAGCCCCUCUCUGCAUCCACAGAAUGGGGAGAGUAGGUGACUGGGACACCCACAGAGCUACCACGUCUAGAAGGACUGGUGGGGUGGGGUCUGGGUGAUGCCAGUUCCAGCUUGUCAGUGUGCCUGAAGCUCAUGAACCACUGAGUAAGUGAACAAAAAUCUUCCAGGCGCUGGAACAGCUCCCGGCACUGAGCGCUGUUGGCGGUGACCAGAAUUGUCGUGGUUAUUAAUGCUGUUGUAUGGUGACAACUCUUCAAAUAUGAUAGGCCAGGCAGGGAGGAGAAGGUCACAAGAAGGUCAUGCUCCGUCGGAGGGAGGCUCUGGCAGUAGGACCCGGAAGGUGUGCCCAGCCCCAGCCCCAGGCCGUGAACUCACAUCCGUC